rnacentral:lncRNA from 1 species
UGACUUAAAGCUUCUGCUGGUAAGGAUUUUCUAGCACACUGCAACAAAAGAAAGAAACAGAAAAGUCCCGACAAAGCUUUCUUUCUAAAAACAAGACUAAUUGGCUACGAGAAACAUCAGAAUCCUUCUAAAGCCUUCUAUGAGUCUCAUCAAAAGGAAAGAUUUGAUGAGACUUGAAUAUAAUUUAACUCACAAGACAGGAGUAGCGAAAGGAGGAGAAAAAUAAGCGAAGUAUGUAAAUAGGGAGAGUUAAAGACGCUUACCAAGCAGCUCUUUCGCCUUUUUGUUGGGAAUCUGGGAAGAAACCAGGAAGUUUUUGCAGCUUCAAGAUGAACUGAGGUGCCCAGAAAUGCCUACGGAGGCCCAGAUAAAAACUGCAAAAGAAAAAAGGCGGUCACAGAUCUUAUGGCAGUAGAACUCGGAUAGAAGUGCCCCAACAAAAAAUUUGCAAUUACGACUUUCAAUCUCCAACCGAAUUCGAUCCCAAACACAAACUUCUAAAACAUACAAAAAUACGCGAACGACUUCCCGAUUCCGAUCUUAGUUCAGAACUGAUAUGACGGAUGAAAUGAAAGCUUGAAUACUUAAAUCUAAUCGAUUCAAACGAAAAUAACAACGGAUUCAGAGGUCCGUAGAUUAUACGUAUACAGAUACAUGACUAACCCGUUUGAGCGGAGGCUGGAAUGGUUAUGGUGAGCAGUAUCGAGGCCUGAAAUGAUGACUUGGAGAGAUCUAGGCUUGUUUGCUUUGCUGGGUGCAAUUUGGUUCGGCAAUUCUCGAUCCCUCUGGGUGUCUCACAAGCAUUAUCCUUCCUGGGUGUCUCACAAGCCCUAAAUGUGUCUGAAAUUUGGGGUGGACAGUGGCGAGAGUGGCGAAGGAUGAAGGAAGUGGCCAGAGAAAUGGAAGGCAGGGGGGAGACGGUGGUGGGAAAGGUAAGGUAUUAGGAUUGCAGGUGGAAGUGAUGGUGGAGAUCAGAGCCCUAGCGGCUGAGGAAAAUGGUGAGUUAGACGGGAAGAAAG